UACGAAGGGAGCUAGCGUUGUUCGGAAUCACUGGGCGUAAAGCGCACGUAGGCGGAUGUGUCAGUCAGGGGUGAAAUCCCGGAGCUCAACUUCGGAAUUGCCUUUGAUACAGCACGUCUUGAGUCCGAUAGAGGUGGGUGGAAUUCCUAGUGUAGAGGUGAAAUUCGUAGAUAUUAGGAAGAACACCGGUGGCGAAGGCGGCCCACUGGAUCGGUACUGACGCUGAGGUGCGAAAGCGUGGGGAGCAAACAGG
rnacentral:rRNA from 1 species